UGAAGGUGGGAAUCCUUCCGGCCGAAUAUCUAAGGUUUCCAGAGUAAAGCUGAUCUGCUCUGGGUAAGUCGGGGCCUAAGGCGAGGUCGAAAGACGUAGUCGAUGGAUAACAGGUUGAAAUUCCUGUACUAUCCUGUAACAGAACUGUGGGGACACAGGCAGAGAGCGUGAGCCGGGAAUGGAAAGACCGGUACAAGCGAGGUAAGAGUUCAGUUGGCAAAUCCGCUGAACAAUCUGAAGACGUGAUGUGGACUGAAAAUAAGUAGGGAAGCACGUGAGCUGACUGUCAAGAAAAGCCGCUAUUGUUUGCAGGAUACCCGUACCGUAAACCGACACAGGUGGAUGAGGAGAGAAUCCUAAGGCCGACGGGAGAAGCAUUGUUAAGGAACUCGGCAAAAUGACUCCGUAACUUCGGGAGAAGGAGUGCCAGUAAGAUGGCCGCAGAGAAUUGGCCCAAGCAACUGUUUAGCAAAAACACAGGUCUAUGCAAAACCGAAAGGUGAGGUAUAUGGGCUGACGCCUGCCCGGUGCUGGAAGGUUAAGGGGAGAGGUUAGCGCAAGCGAAGCUUUGAACUUAAGCCCCAGUAAACGGCGGCCGUAACGAUAACGGUCCUAAGGUAGCGAAAUUCCUUGACGGGUAAGUUCGACCCGCACGAAAGGCGUAAUGAUUUGGGCACUGUCUCAACAAUGCACCCGGUGAAAUUGAAAUACCAGUGAAGAUGCUGGUUACCUGCGCCAGGACGGAAAGACCCCAUGGAGCUUUACUCCAGCUUGAUACUGGGAUUCGGUAUUGCAUGUACAGGAUAGGUGGGAGGCUAGGAAAUGGUAACGCCAGUUGCCAUGUAGCCGAUGUUGGGAUACCACCCUUGCAGUACUGGGUUUCUAACCAGCAGCCGUGAUCCGGCUGGGGGACAAUGUCAGGUGGGGAGUUUGACUGGGGCGGUCGCCUCCGAAAGGGUAUCGGAGGCGCUCAAAGGUUCCCUCAGAAUGGUUGGAAACCAUUCGAAGAGUGCAAAGGCAGAAGGGAGCUUGACUGCGACACCGACGGGUGGAGCAGGUACGAAAGUAGGACUUAGUGAUCCGGUGGUAUAAAGUGGGAUUGCCAUCGCUCAACGGAUAAAAGCUACCCUGGGAUAACAGGCUUAUCACUCCCAAGAGUUCACAUCGACGGAGUGGUUUGGCACCUCGAUGUCGGCUCAUCGCAUCCUGGGGCUGAAGUAGGUCCCAAGGGUUGGGCUGUUCGCCCAUUAAAGCGGUACGCGAGCUGGGUUCAGAACGUUGUGAGACAGUUCGGUCCCUAUCCGGCGUGGGCGUAAGAUAUUUGAGAGGAGCUGUCCUUAGUACGAGAGGACCGGGAUGGACUGGCCGCUGGUGUAUCUGUUGUCUUACCAAAGGCAUAGCAGAGUAGCCAAGCCGGGAAGGGAUAAACGCUGAAGGCAUCUAAGCGUGAAGCCCCCCUCAAGAUGAGAUAUCUCAUAACGUCAAGUUAGUAAGACCCCUUGAAGACGACGAGGUAGAUAGGGCAGAGGUGGAAGUGUGGUAACACAUGGAGCUGACUGUUACUAAUAGGUCGAGGGCAUAACC
rnacentral:rRNA from 1 species